AGUCGGACGGGAUAGGAGAGCUUGCUUUCCUUGAGAGUGGCGCACGGGUGCGUAACACGUAUGUAACCUACCUUGUUCAGGGGGAUAGCCUCUCGAAAGAGAGAUUAAGACCGCAUAACAUUAUGAUAUGGCAUCGUAUUAUAAUCAAAUAUUUAUAGGAACAAGAUGGGCAUGCGGAACAUUAGCUAGUUGGUAAGGUAACGGCUUACCAAGGCUACGAUGUUUAGGGGAUCUGAGAGGAUGACCCCCCACACUGGUACUGAGACACGGACCAGACUCCUACGGGAGGCAGCAGUAAGGAAUAUUGGUCAAUGGGCGGAAGCCUGAACCAGCCAUGCCGCGUGCAGGAAGACGGCCCUACGGGUUGUAAACUGCUUUUGUACCAGAAUAAACCUUCUUUCGUGAAAGAAGCUGAAUGUAUGGUAAGAAUAAGGAUCGGCUAACUCCGUGCCAGCAGCCGCGGUAAUACGGAGGAUCCAAGCGUUAUCCGGAUUUAUUGGGUUUAAAGGGUGCGUAGGUGGCUUAUUAAGUCAGGGGUGAAAGACGGUAGCUUAACUAUCGCAGUGCCUUUGAUACUGAUGAGCUUGAAUGAACUAGAGGUAGGCGGAAUGUGACAAGUAGCGGUGAAAUGCAUAGAUAUGUCACAGAACACCAAUUGCGAAGGCAGCUUACUAUGGUUAAAUUGACACUGAGGCACGAAAGCGUGGGGAUCAAACAGGAUUAGAUACCCUGGUAGUCCACGCCCUAAACGAUGAAUACUCGAUGUUGGCGAUAUACGGUCAGCGUCUAAGCGAAAGCGUUAAGUAUUCCACCUGGGGAGUACGCCCGCAAGGGUGAAACUCAAAGGAAUUGACGGGG
rnacentral:rRNA from 1 species